UUGGAGGGCAGUCUGGUGCCAGCAGCCGCGGUAUUCCAGCUCCAUAGCGUAUAUUAAGUUGUUGCAGUUAAAAAGCUCGUAGUUGAAUUUCGGGAUCAGAUUGUCGGUCGUGCCUCGGUACGCACUGGCAUUAUUGGUUCCUACCUUCUGAAGAACCGCGAUGUCAUUAAUUUGGUGUCGUGGGGAAUCAGGACUGUUACUUUGAAAAAAUUAGAGUGUUUAAAGCAGGCUUACGCUUGAAUACAUUAGCAUGGAAUAAUGAAAUAGGACGUUUGAUUCUAUUUUGUUGGUUUCUAGGAUUGACGUAAUGAUUAAUAGGGAUAGUUGGGGGCAUUAGUAUUCAAUUGUCAGAGGUGAAAUUCUUGGAUUUAUUGAAGACUAACUACUGCGAAAGCAUUUGCCAAGGAUGUUUUCAUUAAUCAAGAACGAAAGUUAGGGGAUCGAAGACGAUCAGAUACCGUCGUAGUCUUAACCAUAAACUAUGCCGACUAGGGAUCGGAUGAUGUUAAUUUUUUAAUGACUCAUUCGGCGCCUUACGGGAAAC
rnacentral:rRNA from 1 species